CUUUUUGAAGGGAGGGCCUUUCAGCUUGGGGGAGAAGAGAGGCAUCUUGAAACUCAGACACACCAUGAAGUGCCUGCCUCCAGGGGAAGCUCAAUCAGCCUCUGGAUGAUGCUCAUGAG